rnacentral:rRNA from 1 species
AACGAACGCUGGCGGCGUGCUUAAGACAUGCAAGUCGUGCGAGAAAGUCACCUUCGGGUGGCGAGUAGAGCGGCGCACGGGUGAGUAACGCGUGGGUAAUCUGCCUUUAGGUUUGGGAUAACUCCGGGAAACUGGUGCUAAUACCGGAUAAGACCACGACGUCUUCGGGCGAUGUGGAAAAGAUGGCCUCUCCUUGGAAGCUAUCGCCUAUUGAUGAGCCCGCGUCCCAUUAGCUUGUUGGUGAGGUAACGGCUCACCAAGGCGUCGAUGGGUAGCUGGUCUGAGAGGAUGAUCAGCCACACUGGAACUGAGACACGGUCCAGACUCCUACGGGAGGCAGCAGUCGGGAAUUUUGGGCAAUGGGGGAAACCCUGACCCAGCAACGCCGCGUGAGGGAUGAAGGCCUUCGGGUCGUAAACCUCUGUCAGGAGGGAAGAACGGGCCGCAGUCGAAUAGGCUGCGGUUUUGACGGUACCUCCAAAGGAAGGACCGGCUAACUCCGUG